rnacentral:lncRNA from 10 species
UUUGUGCUUGUUUCCCUCUGCCUUGUGGGCAAGCCAGUGGCUUCCAUGUUCGUCUUUCCCACUGGACUGGAAGCAACUUGUGACAAGGGACUGACUUUACUAACCUCUCUGUAUUGACCCCAAGCACACAGUAGGUACUGAGUGAAAGAGAGCUGAAGUGAAGCACGAGGAAAGCAAAGAACCCCUUGGAGGAUGUUUCCUGCAUGGAGUACAGCCACCCCACCCCAGCAGGGUGGCACCGAUCCAGUGCCACAGAGGUUCUGGUAGCUGGUGGGCAGGUGCUUCCAAUUCAAGAGGACAUCACUAGCCAUCCCCUCAGCAAUAGUUCUGUUGUUGUUUUCUUCAGCUGGGAUUGUUGGAGAUUGAGGAGUAGCUCAGGGGAAGGUGACCCACAGUUUUCCUGGCCUUGCUCUCCUUGAGUGGAGCGGGUACCUUUUUUCUUUUCCUUUUCCUUUUUUUUUUUUUGAGAUGGAGUUUCACUUUUGUUGCCCAGGCUGGAGUGCAAUGGUACAUUCUUGGCUCACUGCAACCUCUGCCUCCUGGAUUCAAGAGAUUCUUCUGCCUCAACCUCCCGAGGAGCUGGGACUACAGGUGCCCGCCACCACGCCUAGCUAAUUUUUGUAUUUUUGGUAGAGACAGGGUUUCAUUCACCCUAUUGGCCAGGGUUUUUUGGAGAGAGAUCUGGUCUCGAACUCCUGACCUCAGGUGAUCCACCUGCCUUGGCCUCCCAAAGUGCUGGGAUUACAGGUGUGAGCCACCAUGCCCAUGCCACCCUUUUUUAUUAAUAAAUUAAAAACAAAGGCUUACAAUAAAAUUUUACUGGUCCUUUGAAUUACCCCUCCCUACCACAGUAUUGCUGGGGAGAGGCCUUCAGAAUUGUUCUAAGAGAGCUCGGUGUUUUCUAUUAUAGAAUGCUUGUUUGUCAGGUGAGGGUAUUGGUAUCUGUAUGUGGGGUGGGGCACUGGAUAGGUAGGGGAAAGUCAUCGGAGGCAGGGACCCAUGUCUUGAGGGCCUUUUGAUUGCAAAUAGAAACUCCAUCAGACUGUUUUAGGUCUCAACAUGAGUUUCCCCCAGCGGGAAUGGAAUCUGAUGCUUCAUGAGCCUAAGGGCAGAUGAUGCAGCUGGCUCCAGGGACCAGCGCAAGGAGCUGGAGCCCCUUGUCAGAGAAGAGGGUGUCUUGGGCUUCACAGAUGCCUAUCUCAGUGUCACGGGAAGGGCACUCUCUUUGGACUUACACUGACCAGGGUUUGAAUCCCAGCUCUACACUUACUAGCUGUGUGACCUUGGACCACUCACAACCUGUCACUAAGCCUCAGUAUCUUUACAUGGAAAGUGGACGUAAUUCUGCCUACCAUCAUAGGAUUGUGAAGGUUAAGUGGAAAAGCGUGGCUCACAGCUGGCACAUUGUAAUCUUCCAUAAAUGCUGGUGAAUUCUUGCCCCACUUUGUUUUUAUUUAUUUGUUUUGAGGUGGAGUCUUGCUCUGUUGCCCAGGCUGGAGUGCAAUGGUGCAGUCUUGGCUCACUGCAACCUCCGCCUCCCGGGUUCAAGUGAUUCUCCUGUCUCAGCCUCCUGAGUAGCUGGGAUUACAGAUGUGUGCCUGGUGAUCCACUCACCUCAGCCUCCCAAAAUGCUGGGAUUACAGGCGAUAGCCACCGUACCUGGCCUCUCACCCUACUUUGUACCCCACCCCUACCUCCACCCCGAGGUGGGUAAAGUGAACUGCGAUGGGGUGCUGUGUUCCUUGGUUUUCC